UACGUAGGGGGCGAGCGUUGUUCGGAUUUACUGGGCGUAAAGGGCGCGUAGGCGGCGCGGUAAGUCACUUGUGAAAUCUCUGAGCUUAACUCAGAACGGCCAAGUGAUACUGCAGUGCUAGAGUGUGGAAGGGGCAAUCGGAAUUCUUGGUGUAGCGGUGAAAUGCGUAGAUAUCAAGAGGAACACCUGAGGUGAAGACGGGUUGCUGGGCCAACACUGACGCUGAGGCGCGAAAGCCAGGGGAGCAAACGGG
rnacentral:rRNA from 1 species